rnacentral:tRNA from 6 species
GCGGGCGUAGCUCAGUGGUAGAGUCCUUGCUUCCCAAGCAAGUUGUCAGGGGUUCAAAUCCCCUCGCCCGCUCCA